GACAGAGGUGCCAAGCGUUAGGCGGAAUCACUGGGCUUAAAGCGUGUGUAGGCGGAUAUCUAAGUACCUUGUGAAAUCCCACGGCUCAACCGUGGAACUGCUUGGUAUACUGGGUGUCUUGAGCCAUCUAGGGGGCUACCGGAACAAAUGGUGGAGCGGUGAAAUGCGUAGAUAUCAUUUGGAACGCCAAUGGUGAAAAACAGGGUAGCUGGGGGAUGUGCUGACGCUGAGACACGAAAGCCAGGGGGAGCGAACGGG
rnacentral:rRNA from 1 species